GGCGGGUAGCUACAAUGGGUACAAACGGGGCUUGAACCCCCGGCCACUGUAGAGAUACGGUGAGGGUUCGAUUCCUUUACCCGCCUC
rnacentral:tRNA from 1 species